rnacentral:rRNA from 1 species
CCUACGGGCGGCAGCAGUGGGGAAUAUUGCACAAUGGGGGAAAGCCUGAUGCAGCGACGCCGCGUGAGUGAAGAAGUAUUUCGGUAUGUAAAGCACUGUCAGCAGGGAAGAAAAUGACGGUAGCUGACCAAGAAGCCCCGGCUAACUACGUGCCAGCAGCCGCGGGAAUACGAAGGGGGCAAGCGUUAUCCGGAUUUACUGGGUGUAGAGGGCGCGUGGACGGCAGGGCGAGUCUGGAGUGAAAGGCGGAGGCUCAACCCCCGGACUGCUCAGGAAACCGGCAGGCUGGAGUGCAGGUGAGGUAAGUAGUAUUCCUUGUGUAGCGGUGAGAUGCGUAGAUAUGAGGAGGAAUACCAGUGGCGAAGGCGGCUGACUGGACGGUAACUGACGUUGAGGCUCGAAAGCGUGGGGAGCAAACAGGAUUAGAUACCCGAGUAGUC